AAUUAUUCUACAUUUUCUUUGCCCUUAAUCAUUCACUACCUACUACCCCACGAAGCAUCAUUAGCGGCAUUCACAUGUUAAUAAAUAACCAAGUCUCAAUUUAUACAUAGUCCAUAUCUGUUAUAUCUCAUGUCCGAAAAUUUUCAAUUCUUGAAAUAGCUCUCCUUUCUGAAUCUUUGCUGUCUUCCUCACAUAGAUCUCGCUUGAUCUGCGCGGGAACCAUUUCACGGACUGAGUUGGCCACGUUGUCUUCCUCACAUGGUCUCGCUUGAUCUGCGGGGAAUCAUUUCACGGAUUGAGUUGGCCUUAGAACUUUAAAAUAAUUGUUUGAUCUAAUUUUGACUUGAGGGAAUAGAAUUAGAGUAUUAUUUGCUAAUUGAUA
rnacentral:lncRNA from 1 species